rnacentral:lncRNA from 1 species
GGGGCCUCUUCAGCUGGCUGGCUUGAGAAUAUCUGGCUUAAUGUUGAGUCUUGGGUUCAGCUCUCUCAUUUGUCCUAAGGACAGAAGAAACCUAAGGGACAGUGAGAAAGUGAGAGACACAGUAGAGCCAUUUAAGUUGGAGAAGACAGAGGGAGCAGAAAACAACACAGGCUGGCGGGGGCUCGGAUUUAUCCUGGCUAUGCAGUUGAGACAUCUGCUUCUAUCAUGA